AUACAGAGGGUGCAAGCGUUAAUCGGAAUUACUGGGCGUAAAGCGCGCGUAGGCGGUUUGUUAAGUCGGAUGUGAAAUCCCCGGGCUCAACCUGGGAACUGCAUUCGAAACUGGCGAGCUAGAGUAUGGUAGAGGAUAGUGGAAUUCCGGGUGUAGCGGUGAAAUGCGUAGAUAUCCGGAGAAACAUCAGUGGCGAAGGCGGCUAUCUGGACCAAUACUGACGCUGAGGUGCGAAAGCGUGGGGAGCAAACAGGAUUAGAAACCCUAGUAGUCC
rnacentral:rRNA from 1 species